UGCUUUGAACGAAUCAUUUCGAAAUCAUUGAAAAAUUAUUCUAAUAUUAAAUGUAGAAAAUUACAAUGCUUUCUGACCGUAGAUGCAUUUAAACCUGUUGUAGGGGACUCCGACACAAUAUUAGGACACUUUAAAAUACCAUAUGACCUGCUCUUUAAGUGGAAUUGGAACUACAGCAAGUAUUGGUAAGCUCCUAACGAUUCCCAUCCCUAGUUAUUAAAACAUAUAAAUCUUAAGUGAUAACAAUUUCAUGUGAAAUGCAGGAAAUAUUUGCAUAUUAAAUAGAUUAAAUUCCCACCGAUACUCUUCCAAAACUGAGAGUGAAAAAGACUCAAGAAAGGAAAGAAUGUGAAAUUUUCAAAAAGAAUGUGUGGCAUUGGAGAGGGAGGACAGAAUUAAAAAUCAAGAAUCAAGCACUGCAGUUCCACCUAUGACCACAAGACGGCAGGAGACGGUUUCUUUGUUGCUAUGACAACAGCAGCAGCCUUUUGUGUUUGGGGCAGGAGGCAAAGCGUCUGUCACUGUGUGUCUUUUACUUUUACAGUCAGUGGUUGAGGCUUAACUGAUGCUCUACUAAAGCAA